rnacentral:rRNA from 1 species
UACGGUGGAUGCGAGCGUUAUCCGGAUUUAUUGGGUUUAAAGGGUGCGUAGGCGGGAUGCCAAGUCAGCGGUAAAAAUGCGGUGCUCAACGCCGUCGAGCCGUUGAAACUGGCGUUCUUGAGUGGGCGAGAAGUAUGCGGAAUGCGUGGUGUAGCGGUGAAAUGCAUAGAUAUCACGCAGAACUCCGAUUGCGAAGGCAGCAUACCGGCGCCCUACUGACGCUGAGGCACGAAAGCGUGGGCAUCGAACAGG